CAGCAGCCGCGGUAAUACCGGCGGCCCGAGUGGCGGUCACUAUUAUUGGGCUUAAAGCGUCCGUAGCCGGGUUGGGAAGUCCUCCGGGAAAUCUGGCCGCUUAAAGGUCAGAAUGCCGGAGGAUACUCCCAGCCUAGGGAGCGGGAGAGGCCGAGGGUAUUCCCGGAGUAGGGGUGAAAUCCUAUAAUCCCGGGCGGACCACCUGUGGCGAAGGCGCUCGGCUGGAACGCGUCCGACGGUGAGGGACGAAGGCCAGGGGAGCAAACCGGAUUAGAUACCCGGGUAGUCCUGGCUGUAAACGAUGCGGACUUUGUGUCGGACAAGCUAUGAGCUUGUCCGGUGCCGGAGGGAAACCGUUAAGUCCGCCGCCUGGGGAGUACGGCCGCAAGGCUGAAACUUAAAGGAAUUGGCGGG
rnacentral:rRNA from 1 species